GAUGAACGCUAGCUACAGGCUUAACACAUGCAAGUCGCAGGGUAACAUGAGGAAAGCUUGCUUUCCUUGAUGACGACUGGCGCACGGGUGAGUAACGCGUAUCCAACCUUCCCAUAACUACGGGAUAACCCGUUGAAAGACGGCCUAAUACCGUAUGAUAUCGUUUGCUGACAUCAAAUAACGAUUAAAGGUUUAGCGGUUAUGGAUGGGGAUGCGUCUGAUUAGCUUGUUGGCGGGGUAACGGCCCACCAAGGCGACGAUCAGUAGGGGUUCUGAGAGGAAGGUCCCCCGCGUUGGAACUGAGACACGGUCCAAACUCCUACGGGAGGCAGCAGUGAGGAAUAUUGGUCAAUGGGCGAGAGCCUGAACCAGCCAAGUAGCGUGCAGGACGACGGCCCUAUGGGUUGUAAACUGCUUUUAUGUGGGGAUAAAGUGCGUGACGUGUCAUGCAUUGCAGGUACCACAUGAAUAAGGACCGGCUAAUUCCGUG
rnacentral:rRNA from 1 species